UACAGCCAUACCACCCUGAAUGCACCCUAUCUUGUCUGAGCUCGAAAGCUAAGCAAGGUUAUGCCUGGUUGGUACUUGGAUGGGAGUUUGUAAGACAAUCCUUUGUAUAGCUGGGA
rnacentral:rRNA from 1 species